GACCUGUAGCCAGAGAUCCUGCUGAGCCUGAGGACGGUGGCAACUUUGGCACAGGACUUGAUGAGGGCURGGAGGGCAUGGAAGAGGUGGCGUGAAUACCCUGAUAUCAUUGGCAUUUUCAUGUAUGCAAUCUUGGCCUUGUUGCACGCUUGCAUGCCUGCAUGAGCCGCUCAAAUGCCGCAUGGGACAAGAGUUGGCAAGAUGUGGGUUGUGUGCACUGACCCAGAAAGUGGCUUAAAUGUGCACGUAAAAGUGGGGUUUGAAGCAUGUCURAAGAAGGGAGUGAAAAAUCAGACCAYGUCCGUUUGCCACGAAACUCGGUGUGCAGGGUUUUCURGGGGUGGUGAUUCCGAUUCUGGGCACCAUUUUUGAUAUCUUGGAUUGUUACAUGUUGUGUUUGUAAGUGUUCUUUUGCUGGUGCAGGCCUCUAGGCUGUAUGACRAGUAGAGCAAUGGCAAAUGGCAUGCACCUACURUAUUUGCAGGCUGAGCGCAAUCACGAUGUCCGCCGCGAACAAGACAAAAAGAAAGAAAGGCGGGACAGGAACUGGAAGGAGGCUGGGAGAUGAAUGAAGGAGGACAUGCUGCGCAUGAGCCCCCAAGAUGCAAAGUGGCGGGCAGAAGGGGCUGCUCGCAUGCAGGAAGUUGUGCAAGCCAGAGUUGAUGAAAGUUGGAAGCACCACACAGCACGCCAUAAAACAUGGCUGUUGGUAGAUCGCCCACAGGCAUGUCAUU
rnacentral:lncRNA from 1 species